UACGUAGGGGGCGAGCGUUGUCCGGAAUUAUUGGGCGUAAAGAGCGUGUAGGCGGCCCGAUUAGUCCGCUGUAAAAGUCCAGGGCUCAACCCUGGAAAGCCGGUGGAUACUGUCGGGCUAGAGUCCGGAAGAGGCGAGUGGAAUUCCUGGUGUAGCGGUGAAAUGCGCAGAUAUCAGGAGGAACACCGAUGGCGAAGGCAGGUCUCUGGGCCAUAACUGACGCUGAGAAGCGAAAGCAUGGGGAGCGAACAGG
rnacentral:rRNA from 1 species